CACGACCUAUCGCCCACUCCUCCUCCCGCACCCUUCGCCGCCCGCCCCGCGCCCUUCGCCGCCCGCCGCUGGAGCCGUCGCGGGUAUAGCCGGAGCCGCGCCCCGCCCCCCGUGCCCUUCGCCGCCCGCCGCUCGAGCCUCCGCGGGAAGAGCUGGAGCCGCCCCGCCCCCCGCGCCCUUCGCCGCCCGCUGCUGGAGCCGCCGCGGGUAGAGAUGGAGCCGCUCCUGCCCGCAGCUGGGGCCACCGCAGGUCGCGCCGCCGCUGUAGGUCGCAUCGGAGCUUCCCCACAGCUGGACCCACCGCAGGUCGCGUCGGAGCCAGCCCACCGCUAGAGCCACCACUGGAACCGCCGCAGGUCACAUCGGAGCCACCCGCCGCUGGAACCGCCGCAGGUCGCGCUGGAGCCGCCCGCCGCGGGAGCCGCGAGCCGCUGGUCACCGUUGACCUUUUCCACACCUCCACGAGCAAGCGACCCACACGCACACCACUCUCCGCUGCACCAGUGAGGAAGUGAUGGUGCAUGAGGACGAGCUUCCUGGACAAGAAGAUCUCCAUACUCUUCUCGGUGAUGCAAAGUUGAGGUUUGGAUUUUGGCAUCCGCUCUAUUGUCGUGCUGCAACUCUUUGUCGAACGAAACUUAAUUGUUUGUUUUUAUUAUAGCUUAGAUCAGUCUGUUUUAGACUUUUAGUGCUUAUCUUUCAUUCAGGGCUUCAAACCGCACUCGAUUGCAAAACAAAAUUCAGACAACCGAUUGCUGAAUCCUAGACUUUCUCAUAGUUAUAAGACAUGCAACCAUCGAACCUUUUGGUUGCACUCUCAACUGAUAUAUGAGAUCGAUCAUCUCAUCCUACCUGUUCGGAAAUUCGGAUUCCCGAGUUCCUUUUUUGAUUCUGUUGAUUGUAAUGUUAAAUAUGGCUCCUAAUUGGAUACAUACUUGUCUAAACGAUUGGUGCAGCUGCAGAUCAUCUAUAUUGAUUCUGGAGACCGAUUCUUGGUGCUGCUGCAGAUCGUCUACAUUGAUUCUGGACGUCGAUUCUUCAUUUACCCUUCUUAUUACCAUUUGCUAACUUAACCACCUCUCUCUCUCUCUCAUGUUGGUUCUGAAGAUCUUUUAUGUGUCAUGUCGACAAAGGUGUUUGAUAAGAGAUCCAAGCAGGCUGCAUGUGAGGUGAAUCAAGGAAGUUGGUAGAAUAUGCAGCCUUGAUAGCAGAGGUUUGUGAAUUUUAUGCCAGGUUUGUUUCCUCCAUGUUAAACACCGAAGAAAUGGGGUUUUAGAUCAGCAAGGCAAGAAUAGCUUUAUUGUUUCUCUGUUCUUUCCUUAUUCUCACACAACAGAAAAACUAAAUUUAUUGCUUUUGCACUUUAUGUUUCUUAAUGUUGUCAGACUAAUACAGAAGAACAAAAAACUAACUGUUGAUGUUUUGUCUGUCCAGCUAGCCGGCAAGUCAGAUAAAAGUGUCAUCUGAUACGAGAAAGUACUACUGUUUUCAUUUAUAAAAGAUACAUAAGUGUUAACUUGGCAAGUCUGUUAGUUGAUAACCUUACCUGAUGUUAAGAGGGUGAGUGGUUAGUGUAAAAUAACUUUGAGAUCACCUCCUUUUGCAGUCCUGACCAAUUUUUUCUUCACAUCAUUUUGAAAUUCUUAGUUUGUUUUUUGAGUUAUCCAUAUUGUACCCAUGUCAUGCUGAAUGAACGUGCAUGCUGUGAGAGAGAUAGAUGGAAACUGUAAUUCUUCAGUGUCAUUGUACAUUAUGUAGAGUUAUAUUUUGAAAAUCACUGUUCCGAUGUCUCGUCAAGGUUGAGGCUCAUAUUGUUUAAGAAUUUUGCUCACCAAUUCACCAUUGUUUUUGGCUCACCCAAUUUAUGUAAGCAUGUACAGAAUUAGACCGAGAAACACAAACCAGAUAUAUUGGUUCACUAAACUCAUAGUUAUCAGGGAGAAAUAACAUAAACUCUUUUGUUUCAAGCAUUUUUUCUUAUUAAGUUUCGUAUAUCUGAUCUACUUCACACAUUAUAUAACCUACGAAGCACCGAUACGUCAAGAUCGGCUGUAUCGGCGUACCGCACGUGGCCGAUACUCCGAUACGCCUGAUACGGCUCCGAUACGCGUAUCACAGAGGUAUCCCCAUUUUUGAUUUAAAAAAUAAAAAAAUAAACACGAUACGGCGGCGACACGCUGUGGACACAGCGACGAUACGGCGAGCACGUCGCAAACAGACCUGAGCCUAAUAGGAGCCCACAAGCCUAACCUCUGUCCUCUCAGUUUCGAUAAAAGAAGGAUUGGAUCUUGGCAACUGCAGGGAGCGCGCCGCCGCCGCCGCCUUGAGUGGCUCGCUGCGGCGGCCGCCACCGCCGUCGCCUGCAAUCGCCCGUCCAACCUGCCAACUUGCCUUGCCGCCGUCUGGAGUGACUCGAGCCUUCUCCGCCACAGCCGCCCGUCGCCAGCAACAAUGAGGUAUGAUUCCAUGGCAUACGAACUUGGCUGCUUGUCUCUGUGCUUGGCUGCUGGCUGGUGUCGUGGUGCAUCUGCCUGUGUUUUCUUGUUAUAUUAAAAAACGCUAACUUGGCUAAUCCUUUGAACUUAGUUCAGUUGCGGAAGCAGACUUGCACAUAUAUAUAUACCUCGAUUUAUCUUUAUGAGCUAUGUCUACUACUAGAGAGGGAAACACGGCAUGUAUGUAAUUUGCAUGACUUGAAAAGAGCCAUGGAUGCAACCAAUGGGCAGUAUUUUGAUCUCAUCUCGCACCUUCUAUUAUAUGUUUGUCUUUAUUACAUUUAUUUUAUUAAUUAUUUUAUAUACUUACCGUAUCGCCGUAUUGAUGUUUCUGAAAAUUGCCGUAUCCCGUAUCGCCGUACUCGUAUCGCCGUAUCGGUGUGGCCGUAUCGGUGCUUCGUAGUAUAUAACUAUGAAACUGCUAAUAAUUAUUCACAUCGGCAUCUCUGAAUUCAUCAUGAGAACAUGGUAUCUGUCUCUCUAACAAUGUGUCAUGAUGAUCUGGCUUAUCUUAAUGUUGUCAGACUGACAUAGAAGAACUGAAAACGAACUACAGUUUGGAUGUAACAACAUACACGGCAUAGCUCGACACCACGUAGAAGUCAGGAGAGCGCCCACGUCACCUAGGUUGAAUUCAAGUUUUGCCUCCAUUUUAUCCAGAUCCUUGCUAUUGUGGUUAGGUUUUAGAGAUCAGAGUUGUUGUAUCUAUGCAAGUGAAGAGUACUCCAUCUAAAUUUGAUUGCAGAACAAACAACACGUUUUAACUACAUGCUUUUCAACUUCCUGCAGGAGGGUGAGUGGAUUAGUCACAGAUUAGUGCCUUCACUUUUGUUGAAUAAAUUGGCUUCAGCUCUGAUGCAUGUGAACUGUGAGGUGUUUUUGGUAUGGGAAUGAUGAGGUUCUGAUGGUCUAUACCUGAUUGCAAGGUUUGGGUAUGAAUUAAAUUUGCGUCCAAACUUGGCAAUUAUCUUCUAUGAAUUUAGGCAUUGUUCACAUGUCAUUUGAGUCAAACAGAAAUAUGCUUCUGAAAUGCUCCAAUUUGCUGCUUUUCACAUUUUGAGAAGGUUGUUUAUUUCGUAUUCAUUAGGUUAUGCUAAAGCAGAAGGCAUUGUGCUGACAUUUUUUAAGCCUUACUUGAUUUUGAUAUGUGGUUAGCCGUUUGCCCUUGCACCAAAAACAAACACUAUUCCUAUGUCUUACUUAGAAGCAAAGGUGCAUUAAUUAUUAACUGGUUGAUAUAUGUUCCAUGGUGGGUGGCAUAGAAAACAAAGCUUCUUUCUAAGACAUGAUGUUCUGUUACUAGCAAAAAAAGUGUUAGAAUUUAUAAGUACUUAUUCAAAGAAAAAAAACUAACUGGAGAACUGUUUGCUUCUACCAUUCCUUUCAAGUUAAGGCAAAAAUCAUAUUGGCAUGUAGCUUGUGCUCCUGCAGAGUUCUUUUUGUUCAUUUCUGUAAUGUUAAAGGCAUAUCGAAUAAUGAAAUUGCAAUAGUUAUGAUCCCUAGGCCCGACAAAAAACUGACGAGAGUAUUAGGCGGUGGCAGGUAUCAGGCUACAGCAGCUGAAUUGCAAGUAUUCUGAUGAGCUUCUACGGCAAGGUGGAGCAACCUUAUAGUGCAAAGAUGAAGGGGCAAUUCCUCUUCAUGGUUCUUGUGCUUGGGGGUAUGCAUUAUUUAUUUGCAUUGAGCUUAUACUUCCUUGCCCCAAGGAGAAGAUUUCAUGCCCCAAGAAGUAGAAUACGUACAGACAUGCACCCAUCGGGAUCAAGAAACCAAAGUCUGGGCCCUGUUAACUACUCCCUCCGUUCCAAAAUAGAUGACCCAACUUUAUACUAACUUUGUACUAAAGUUAAUACAAAGUUGAGUCAUCUAUUUUGGAAUGGAGGGAGUACAAAGCAAGUCAAUGCCAGCAUACAUAUGACAAACCGAUGGGCCUGUCAAAGCGAACCCCUGGUUGAAAUUUGUCAAAAGACUGGGCGGUAAACUGAGUGGUAGUCUUAGUAUCUUAAUACACAACUUGCCUACUAUGGGAAUUGUGUUUAUGUUGUUAUGGGAUUACGGAGUUAUGAUCUAAAAAAAUUAUGGAGUUACAAUCUAGAAAAGAACUAUGGAGUUGUGUGCAAAGAAAGGACAUGAUGUUUCUCAAAUCGCCCUUUGUAUCUCUAUGUUUUGCACUUUAUCAAAGGCGCAAUUAGUUGAGCUCUCAA